rnacentral:rRNA from 1 species
UAACGCGUGAGGAACCUGCCUCAAAGAGGGGGACAACNGUUGGAAACGACUGCUAAUACCGCAUAAGCCCACGACCCGGCAUCGGGUUGAGGGAAAAGGAGCAAUCCGCUUUGAGAUGGCCUCGCGUCCGAUUAGCUAGUUGGUGAGGUAAUGGCCCACCAAGGCAACGAUCGGUAGCCGGACUGAGAGGUUGAACGGCCACAUUGGGACUGAGACACGGCCCAGACUCCUACGGGAGGCAGCAGUGGGGAAUAUUGCACAAUGGGGGAAACCCUGAUGCAGCGACGCCGCGUGGAGGAAGAAGGUCUUCGGAUUGUAAACUCCUGUUGUUGAGGAAGAUAAUGACGGUACUCAACAAGGAAGUGACGGCUAACUACGUGCCAGCAGCCGCGGUAAAACGUAGGUCACAAGCGUUGUCCGGAAUUACUGGGUGUAAAGGGAGCGCAGGCGGGAAGACAAGUUGGAAGUGAAAUCUAUGGGCUCAACCCAUAAACUGCUUUCAAAACUGUUUUUCUUGAGUAGUGCAGAGGUAGGCGGAAUUCCCGGUGUAGCGGUGGAAUGCGUAGAUAUCGGGAGGAACACCAGUGGCGAAGGCGGCCUACUGGGCACCAACUGACGCUGAGGCUCGAAAGUGUGGGUAGCAAACAGGAUUAGAUACCCUGGUAGUCCACACCGUAAACGAUGAUUACUAGGUGU